AUUGAACGCUGGCGGCAGGCCUAACACAUGCAAGUCGAGCGAGCGGCGGACGGGUGAGUAAUGCCUGGGAAACUGCCUGAUGGAGGGGGAUAACUACUGGAAACGGUAGCUAAUACCGCAUACCAUCAGAUGUGCCCAGAUGGGAUUAGCUAGUAGGUGGGGUAACGGCUCCCCUAGGCGACGAUCCCUAGCUGGGCUGAGAGGAUGACCAGCCACACUGGAACUGAGACACGUUCCAGACUCCUACGGGAGGCAGCGGUGGGGAAGAUUGCACAAGGGGCGCAAGCCUGAUGCAGCCAUGCCGCGUGUGGUAAGAAGGCCUUCGGGUGGUAAAGCACUUUCAGCGGGGAGGCGUUACCCGCAGAAGAAGCACCGGCUAACUCCGUGCCAGCAGCCGCGGUAAUUC
rnacentral:rRNA from 1 species